rnacentral:rRNA from 1 species
GGGCAAGGGCGUAUGUAUCGACUCCUAUAGGGCGAUUGGGUCGACGUCGCAGUAGACUCCCGGCCGCCAUGGUUCAGAGUUUGAUCCUAGGCUCAGAUUGAACGCUGGCGGCAGGCCUAGCGCAUGCAAGUCGAGCGGUAGCACAGAGAGCUUGCUCUCGGGUGACGAGCGGCGGACGGGUGAGUAAUGUCUGGGAAACUGCCUGAUGGAGGGGGAUAACUACUGGAAACGGUAGCUAAUACCGCAUAAUGUCGCAAGACCAAAGUGGGGGACCUUCGGGCCUCAUGCCAUCAGAUGUGCCCAGAUGGGAUUAGCUAGUAGGUGAGGUAACGGCUCACCUAGGCGACGAUCCCUAGCUGGUCUGAGAGGAUGACCAGCCACACUGGAACUGAGACACGGUCCAGACUCCUACGGGAGGCAGCAGUGGGGGAAUAUUGCACAAUGGGCGCAAGCCUGAUGCAGCCAUGCCGCGUGUGUGAAGAAGACCUUCGGGUUGUAAAGCACUUUCAGCGGGGAGGAAGGCGAUAAGGUUAAUAACCUUGUCGAUUGACGUUACCCGCAGAAGAAGCACCGGCUAACUCCGUGCCAGCAGCCGCGGUAUACGGAGGGUGCAAGCGUUAAUCGGAUUACUGGGCGUAAGCGCACGCAGCGGUCUGUCAAGUCGGAUGUGAAAUCCCCGGGCUCACCUGGGAACUGCAUUCGAAACUGGCAGGCUAGAGUCUUGUAGAGGGGGGUAGAUUCCAGGUGUAGCGGUGAAUGGGUAGAGAUCUGGAGGAUACCGGUGGCGAAGGGGCCCCUGGACAAAGACUGAG